UCUGGUUGAUCCUGCCAGUAGUCAUAUGCUUGUCUCAAAGAUUAAGCCAUGCAUGUCUAAGUAUAAAUAGUAUACAGUGAAACUGCGAAUGGCUCAUUAAAACAGUUAUAGUUUAUUUGAUAAUUGACAAUUACAUGGAUAACCGUGGUAAUUCUAGAGCUAAUACAUGCUUAAACGCCCGACUUUAUGGAAGGGUGGUAUUUAUUAGACUGAAGCCAAUAUUCCUUGUGUCUAUUGCGGUGAUUCAUAAUAACUGACCGAAUCUCUUUUUGAGAUAAAUCAUUCAAGUUUCUGCCCUAUCAGCUUUCGAUGGUAGUGUAUUGGACUACCAUGGCAGUAACGGGUAACGAAGAAUUAGGGUUCGAUUUCGGAGAGGGAGCAUGAGAAACGGCUACCACAUCUAAGGAAGGCAGCAGGCGCGUAAAUUACCCAAUCCUGACUCAGGGAGGUAGUGACAAGAAAUAGCAAACCGGGAACCUCAUGGUUUCACGGUAUUGCAAUGAGAACAAUUUAAAACCCUUAGCGAGAAUCAAGUGGAGGACAAGUCUGGUGCCAGCACCCGCGGUAAUUCCAGCUCCACUAGCGUAUAUUAAAGUUGUUGCAGUUAAAAAGCUCGUAGUUGAACCUCUGUCUGGGGCUAGUUUUGGCUUUGGUCAGGCUAGUUCUAGGCAUCCGCCUACAAGACUUAGAGGGCAUUCAGUUGCUCACUAGGAGGAGUAGGCAUUUUACUUUGAAAAAAUUAGAGUGUUUAAGGCAGGCAAUCGCCCGCAUAUAUUAGCAUGGAAUAAUAGAAUAGGACACUUUUCCAUUUCGUUGGUUAUUGGAAUCGUGUAAUGAUUAAUAGGGACAGUUGUGGGCAUUUGUAUUUAAUUGUCAGAGGUGAAAUUCUUGGAUUUAUUAAAGACAAACUAACGCGAAAGCAUUUGCCAAGGAUGUUUUCAUUAAUCAAGAACGAAAGUUAGGGGAUCAAAGACGAUCAGAUACCGUCCUAGUCUUAACUAUAAACUAUUCCGACUCAAUGUUUGACUGGCUUAUAUAACCAGUUGAGCGUUGUAUGAGAAAUCAAAGUCUUUAGGUUCUGGGGGGAGUAUGGUUGCAAAGCUGAAACUUAAAGGAAUUGACGGAAGAGCACAACCAGGAGUGGAUUCUGCGGCUUAAUUUGACUCAACACGGGGAAACUUACCAGGUUAAAACAAUAGUGGGAUUGACAGUUUGAGAGCGCUUUCUUGAUUGGUUGGGUGGUGGUGCAUGGCCGUCCUUAGUUGGUGGAGUGAUUUGUCUGCUUAAUUGCGUUAACGAACGAGACCUUAACCUGCUUACUAGACUGGCGAUCAUCAAUCGUUAGCUCUUCUUAGAGGGAC
rnacentral:rRNA from 1 species